AAACGAAGGGUGCGAGCGUUAAUCGGAAUUACUGGGCGUAAAGCGCGCGUAGGUGGUUUGUUAAGUUGGAAGUGAAAGCCCCGGGCUCAACCUGGGAAUUGCUUUCAAAACUGACGGGCUAGAGUACGGUAGAGGGUAGUGGAAUUUCCUGUGUAGCGGUGAAAUGCGUAGAUAUAGGAAGGAACAUCAGUGGCGAAGGCGACUGCCUGGACUGAUACUGACACUGAGGUGCGAAGGCGUGGGGAGCAAACAGGAUUAGAUACCCUGGUAGUCCACGCCGUAAACGAUGUCAACUAGUUGUUGGGGGUCUUGUACCUUUAGUAACGCAGCUAACGCAUUAAGUUGACCGCCUGGGGAGUACGGCCGCAAGGUUAAA
rnacentral:rRNA from 1 species